UGGGGAAUAUUGGACAAUGGACCAAAAGUCUGAUCCAGCAAUUCUGUGUGCACGAUGACGUUUUUCGGAAUGUAAAGUGCUUUCAGUUGGGAAGAAAAAAAUGACGGUACCAACAGAAGAAGUGACGGCUAAAUACGUGCCAGCAGCCGCGGUAAUACGUAUGUCACAAGCGUUAUCCGGAUUUAUUGGGCGUAAAGCGCGUCUAGGUGGUUAUGUAAGUCUGAUGUGUGAAUAAAAAAUGCAGGGCUCAACUCUGUAUUGCGUUGGAAACUGCAUGACUAGAGUACUGGAGAGGUAAGCGGAACUACAAGUGUAGAGGUGAAAUUCGUAGAUAUUUGUAGGAAUGCCGAUGGGGAAGCCAGCUUACUGGACAGAUACUGACGCUAAAGCGCGAAAGCGUGGGUAGCAAACAGGAUUAGAUACCCUGGUAGUCCACGCCGUAAACGAUGAUUACUAGGUGUUGGGGGUCGAACCUCAGCGCCCAAGCUAACGCGAUAAGUAAUCCGCCUGGGGAGUACGUACGCAAGUAUG
rnacentral:rRNA from 1 species